AUGUUUCUGUUACAAAGAUUUUAUGUAAUAAAUUGGUUAUAAAAUGCAUUUGAUAAAAACAGUAAAGACUACUUAAAAUGAUUCAUCAAAGCAAAUGUGAACAAUUAUAGAGAAUUAAAAUUUAUACCAGAUUCCAUGAUGAUGAUUCCAUAAUCAGUGCAAGCACUGAGACGAUCAUUUUGGGUCAAUGUUACAUUCUCGUAGGAGUGUUAAUGGCCUAAGUUUUCCAAGAAGGAAAAUGUGAAGCGUUGCAGCUUUAUAUACCAAUAUUAGCUUUGAAAGCUAAGGAUAUCCAACUGGUGAACAGACUGAAAUUUGUCAAGAAAUUUAAAUAGUUAGAAAAAAAAAAAAAAGAGCCAAACUCCUCCUCAAUUCAGUUUCCA